rnacentral:lncRNA from 1 species
UUUACAAACCUUUUAAUCACUCCAAAAUCACUCUCUAAUUACUCCAAAAAUUUCACAGCUUUGAGCAGAAAGUUUAAGUCAUUCGAAGUGAGUUCUAGCUCACUUAUUCAACUCUUUUCUUCUUGUUUCUUCUUCUAAAACACUUGGAUAACCUCUAGGAAGGUUUUCACAAGUUUGCUUGGACAAACUAAGGUGAAACCUAACCAUUUUUGAGGUUCAAAGUGCACUUUAUUUUCUGCUCAUUUUUAUUUCUUUGUAUGUUCAUUUUUGUGUUGAUAACUUGAUGGAAUCUUGUUCCCAUCAAGCUCCCAAUCAAGUCUAUGAUUGUGGGUUUGUAUUAGGGUGAUUACCAUCAAAGUUAUGAGUUCAAACACUCACUUAUUUUCUGUUUAAACUUGAUAAUCAAAUGAUGAAAACAAGCGCAAGUCAUCAUUUUCUAUAUGAUGAACUUGUGAUUUGUGAAGUGUGAACAAAAGGAAGCUUGGGCUUUCCAAACCAAGUUCCACUCCUUCAUUUGAACAUUCUUAUAACUUUUUAGAUUAGGUUUACAUUAUUGUUAUUCAUGACCCUCCCACCAUCUUCAUGAUGGUGUGUGUAGUGGUGAAUCUUAUAAUGAGGUUUCUAACCUCCAUGCUUGACAUACAUGAUGCUAUAUGGCAAUACUUGAUUGGACUUAGUUUUAGGAUAUAUUUUUAUUAUAUAAACUAUAUAUAAUCAUAUUAAAACAUGGCUGAAUUUGUGGUGUAAAUCAAACCAUGAUUAACCAUCAUAAAACUAAGCUAUCAUAUCAAACAUUCUAGAGUUCUUGUUAUGAUUCCAAUGGGCAAUUUGGGACCCAUAAAACCACUUGAUAUGGUGUCAUAAACAAACUCUUAGAACUUAGAUAUUACUUUCAUAUAUACACACUUUCACUACUUUAAAUUCCUAAUUUCGAUUCUAAACACCCCCAUAAACUCCAUCACCGAACACAUUCAUUCUCCUAUUCUCACUAACUUGUCAAUACUUGGAUAAUCGGAAGACUUAGCAAUUUUGUGAGUAUACUCGUAUUUCCCCCUUUUUACUUUUACCACUUUUGGGGUGUAACAUGUUUACCUAUCAACUUACACAUGAACACUUUGUUAAACACAUGAACGUUCCUAUAACAUGCUUGUAUACGUGAUGACUUGAUACUUUAAACUUGGGUUAUUCUUAUGUGUUGAACUUAUCAUUAACUUCGUACGAGCCAAACCUUGACAUAUGUAGCGCUAUAGGAUUAACGACCCGCCCGUAAACUUGAGGUUAUGUCUUGAGCAUAUUGCGUUUUCUUGGUUUGAUAUGUUAGACACAUGCCAUAUUUAAUGUUUAUCUUGAAUCAUAUGCUUGCCAUGAGGAAUUGUUCACACUUUUUAUCUUAUGCUAUGUUGAGGACGAUGAGGCUAUGAAAUGAAGUAGCGUUGAUGCCUAGAUACACAUAUAGACGUUAGGGUUUAAAAUGUUGUAUCAAAAUUUUGUUAUGUUAUCAUGUUGUUAUGUUAAACUUGUCGUAUUU